rnacentral:lncRNA from 1 species
AAGGGUUCUGUAAUGGUCCUUUGCACUGUACUAUCACGUGACCUCCAUAAAAAGUGUACUAUUCAUUCCAAAAUCCAAAUCUAUUAAUAUUUUUUAUUAUAACAUGCAUCAUGUUAGCAAAUGUUUUUUUUUUUUUUUUUGGUUGUCACGUUACGAAAUUGAAUGUUCUUUUGGGUGUGUGAUAAGACGUUUUUUUUUUUUUAAUUAAAGAUGUGUUAGGUCAGUGCAUGCAUUCAUGAUCAACAACUCUCUAUUUGUAGUAAUUUAGUCUUAAUUAAGCAAAAGCUAAUUGAUUUUUAAAAUUGCCAGAUAAUUUCUUUAAUUAGCUUAGUAGUAAUCACUCAUCUCUGGAACACACUGCACAUUCUGC